CCUACGGGAGGCAGCAGUGAGGAAUAUUGGUCAAUGGGCGCGAGCCUGAACCAGCCAAGUAGCGUGAAGGAUGACUGCCCUACGGGUUGUAAACUUCUUUUAUAAAGGAAUAAAGUGAGGCACGUGUGCCUUUUUGUAUGUACUUUAUGAAUAAGGAUCGGCUAACUCCGUGCCAGCAGCCGCGGUAAUACGGAGGAUCCGAGCGUUAUCCGGAUUUAUUGGGUUUAAAGGGAGCGUAGGUGGGUUGUUAAGUCAGUUGUGAAAGGUUGCGGCUCAACCGUAAAAUUGCAAUUGAUACUGGAAGGCUUGAGUACAGUUGAGGUAGGCGGAAUUCGUGGAGUAGCGGUGAAAUGCUUAGAUAUCACGAAGAACUCCGAUUGCGAAGGCAGCUUACUAGACUGCCACUGACGGUGAUGCGCGAAAGUGUGGGUAGCAAACAGGAUUAGAUACCCGGGUAGUC
rnacentral:rRNA from 1 species